AUAUAGACAACUAAACCGGACCGGUUCAAGACCGGUCCAAUCCCUUCAAUCCUGAGCGUUGGAUCUAGGGUUUCCCUCCCUGGAUCAAUCCAACGCUCCCUGUGCUUCCAGGCUUUUAGGUUUUGGGCUUGGGCCUUUUUCUUUGCAGUUUCCUACGUUUUUGCUUUUUCUUGCUAUUUACACCUUGUUUUCUUGCUGAUUGAACCCCUGCUUGCUCAAUUUUUCUCUCAAAAAUUCUAGAAAAAUUCCUAUUGUUUUUAAUUCAUUUUUGGUUUUUUUUUGUGAUGCUUUUCACAUGUUAAAAAGUGAUAAAA
rnacentral:lncRNA from 1 species